GGUGGGGUUUCAUGGCUCUUUUUGCUGCGGGGAAAAAAAGUAUUUCAAUUACAGAAAGAUGCCAAGAAUGAACUUGAGCUACUCCUAUUUGUCAGUGUAGCAUUUCACUUCUCUCUAUGGUGUACUUCUAAUUUAUUAGAUACUCCAUAAAUUGAAGGGAUUGGAAUGGUGAGAUUGGAAAAGUAAUUGGGUGGUGCUUUCACAAUUACAUUUUUGGUUUAAUUUUCACCUAGAAUGAUUCAGUUUGCUGUUUUGUAACCAUUUCCUAGUCUACAAAAGCAAAAUAAGCCAGUCCCCUGAUAUUCAUGGAAAAAAAUGUAAAGUUCUUCUAAAGAAUUCCCAUAUAAUACAUAUAUUUUAAAGUUCAACCAUGUGGAACGAUAUCAGGUGAGCGUCCCUAUCAAUGUCCUUACUGUGAAAAAGGAUUCAGUAAAAAUGAUGGACUGAAGAUGCACAUUCGUACUCACACCAGGGAGAAGCCGUACAAGUGCUCAGAGUGCAGCAAGGCCUUCAGCCAGAAGCGAGGCCUGGAUGAGCACAAGAGGACGCACACUGGAGAAAAGCCUUUUCAGUGUGAUGUUUGUGACUUGGCUUUUAGCCUGAAGAAAAUGCUGAUUCGACACAAGAUGACUCAUAAUCCCAAUCGUCCCCUGGCAGAAUGCCAGUUUUGCCAUAAGAAGUUUACGAGGAAUGACU
rnacentral:sRNA from 1 species